rnacentral:lncRNA from 1 species
AUAUAUAAAACAAAGAUGCAGACGACACUGGAUCUUUUAUUUAUGUUUUUAUUCGGUAGCGAAAUACAGUAUAUAUAUAUAUAUAUAACAUAGUGGUACACACUGCUGAUGCAUGGGAGCAGCAGGGGCGUUAUUUUAUGCAUUCAUAUUCGUUACAGGCAGGCAAGCAGCAUGCAUACUGCAUAUGCAUGCAUGCAGAUGAUCCGAUCCAUCGUUUUAGUUAUUAGUUGGGGUUCACGUAGAGCCCGAUCGCGUCCAGGCAAUCUCCAGAGCGGCCAAAGAAGCCAGCGACGUGGCCGUUGUUCAUCACCUUGACACGGAACGGGGUGCCCUCGUCCCUGCCGUACGGUCCGUAAGCGCGUUUGUUGGUGACGAAUUUGAGAGACUUGACCAGAUUGUCAAUGUUGUAGGCUGGGCCCGUGGUCCCGGAGAUCUCCGUCAAGCUCUCGUCGAACCUGCACAGAUCAAUCUGCAUAUAUAUUCCGGUUAGAGAUGGCAAUGGGUACCCGAAAUCCGAAACCCGAUGGGUUUUUACCCCAUUAGGGUACGUGUUUGGGUCAAUUUUCAUACCCAUGGGUUUGUUAAUGGGCAUAAAUGUAUACCCGACGGGUUCAUGGGUACGGAUUUGUUCCUAUAGUACCCAAACCCGUUAACCCGUGGGUUUUUUAAACCCGACCAAACUUAGUGUAUAUUGUCAUUUUAUUUUAUAAACGAACAACAAACUUUUAUCUACCUAUUUACUUCAUGUUUUUUUAUCAAAUAGUGAAUGUAUAAGUAGUUGGUGAGAGUGUUGCUUACUUGCUAUUAUAGUUAUUACUAGCGUUAUAUAUGUGGUGGAUGUAUAACUUAGUGCAAGGUAACUUGAUUAUACAACUUAUUAUUUGUAUUUAAUUCUCUCUACUAAUAUUUUUUAUACCAAAUCAUGAACUCGUUGUUCAUUACAUAAAUUUUGGACCAUGAUCUCAUUAAUCAUUAUGAUACUUAUUGAUUAUAAAAAGAAUAAGUAUAUUGGAGAUAAAACCCGCGGGUAACCCGUGGGUACCCGCUAACCCGAUGGGUACGGGUUUGGGCAAGAUUUCAAACCCGUCACGGGUACGGGUUUUUUAAUGGGUGUAAAUAUUUUUCACGGGUACGGGUUUGGGAUAACAAAACCCGGCGGGUUUGUACCCGUUGCCAUCUCUAAUUCCGGUAGUGAAGACGACAUCGUCAUGCAUACUUACAACAGCACUGUAUAAUAUUUUCGGACUGCGAUCGAGACGUAGAUGACUACUAGUUAACUCAUCACCUUGUACUCCGUGCCAGCAUGGCCGAAACCCCAUGGCCCCUCCUCGUACGGUUUGCCAUCGGCUCCGAUGUAGAUGAAGGAGAUGGAGCGGAUGCAGCUGCUGUUGUCCGCCGUGACCUUCACCUCGAUCAGCCGGUCCGGAGUAGCCCUCAGAUCCCGACGAUCGCCGGCGUAUCCACCCCACUCUCCGAUCUUCGCAGGCUUCCCCUGCAGCAUAUAUCAUGCAUAUAUAUGCAUGCGUCGUUCACCACAAUAAUGAGAAUUUAAGAAGAAGAAGAUGAUGCUGAGAAGAAAGCGCCUAGAGAUCAGCUGGGAAAAUAUCACGAACCAUGUUUGUCGUCGUGUAGUAGAAGAAACUAUGUAUGUGUGUAGAUCGAUGAGUGUUGUGGAU